CUCAAUGUAUUUAAAUAGCCGCAAUUAUCUUGUGCUAAGGUAGCAUAAUCAUUUGUUUUUUAAUUAAAAACUAGAAUGAAAGAUUUAACAUUUCUAUUUCUUUCUAAUAUAUUUAUAUCCAAUUUAUUUUAAAUAUUAAAAAAUAUUUAUAAAUUAAAAAGACGAUAAGACCCUAUUGAACUUUACUAAAGUUAAACUGGGGCAGUUAAUUAAACAUAAUUUUAAUUUUAAACACAAAACAACCUAAUAUAAUUAAAAUAUCAAGUUACCAUAGGGAUAACAGCGCAAUAAUCUUCUAAAGCUCAUAUUAAAAAGAUCAUUUACGACCUCGAUGUUGAAUUAAUAAUCUAUUAAAUGCAAUAAUUUAAUAAGAAAGUCUGUUCGACUU
rnacentral:rRNA from 1 species